rnacentral:lncRNA from 1 species
UACAUAAAAAUAUUGGAGUAUUGGAGUACAAAUUAUAAUUUUUUAGUUUGAUCCUAUAUAAUAUCUUUGAUUAUCCAAAUUUUGAUAUAAUCUAUCAUUUAUAAGUUGUCUCGCACAUAAUUGUCAAUUAAUCAUUAAUAUCUUUCAACUUUAACAAGUAUUAAGAUUAUUGUUCUGCUUAUUAGUUAUAUUGCAGAACAUAGAGUCCUAUGAUUUAUAAAAAUAAUUAUUCUACCAUUUGAUCACGAUGUUUAUGUUGCAGAACAUAAUGUGCAGGUUGUCAAAUCUUUACAAAUAUUAUUGGACAAAAAAAAUUGAAAUUUAGAUGACUAGAUUACAUUUUAUCAAACUUUGUACUCCAUAGAACUUAACUCAUAAAUAUAAUAUAAUUUUUUUUUUUUUGGUAGGUGUAGUUUCCUACAAAGGGCACCACGAGGGAUGAAACAUGUUACUCCCUCCGUUUCAAAUUAGAUGUCCAUUUUAAAAAAAUCACACAGUUUAAGAAAAGUGGAUGUUCACAAAUUAAUUGCAUUAAAUGAUCAAAAUAUGUGGAGUGAGAUUGAUCUAGUAAUAUAAAUAAGAGAUAUGUGGAGUAUAAUUGACUUUGAAAAUAUGUUUUUGCAUUGAAAGUUGAAGUGGACAAGUAAUUUGAAAUAAUUUUUUUUGUAAAAGUGGACAUGUAAAUUGAAACGGAGGGAGUACCUUGCAUAUUCAAUAAUUAUUUACAUAUUUAUUACAUUUUAUAAAAGACAUAGAAGUCUGCCUAGGAUUGUGUAAUUACGUGAAUAAUGGAAUUAAUGAUGCAAAAAGAAGUUAUUAUACAAAUAUACAUAUACACGGAUAUGAUCAAAUAAAAACUUUUUUAAGUUACAAAUUUACAAACUUUUUUUUUGAAUUUAUUUUAUUCUCCUAUCGUGUUAUUCCUUAGUUAUAGAAAGUAUCUAUGUUGAAAAUUUUUGAAAAAACAUCACAAUUUUUAAAAAUAACGCAUAAAAAGUCGUGCAUUCAACACAUUUGUAACUAGGGUUCAACAUCGGGUAUAGAACACUAACUAUCAUUAUGUUGAAUAUAUCUAUAAAGAUGCUUAAACUAUACCUCUCGGAUUUGGUAGGGUCUAGAAACAUAAAUAUUAGUUAUAUAAUACGUUUAACUUAGUUCUUACAUUAAAAAAUUAGUUUAUGUACUUCUCCAACAUAAUUUUAAUCGAUGUUCAACAAAAUAUGUUAAAAAAAUGUUGAACUCAAAUUAUAUAUAUGUGUUGAACGCAUAAACUUUAUAAGUUUAUAAGUUUGUAUCAGAACCCACCCCUAUAUAUAUAUGUGUGUGUGUGUGUAUAUGUAUAUGUAUAUACUGUAUAUAUAUAUAUAUAUAAAACAUAUAUCAUCUUUAUUUUCAAAAAAAAACAUAUAUCAUCUUCUUCAAUAAUCCUACAUUGAUCAAGCAAUUGUGACCUAAAAUUAUCACUACAACAAGACAGGGUAUUUACGAUGGAAAUUAAGCCUAAAAUCCGUUGUAAGUUCCAAGUUUACGAUGGAAUAAUUCUAUCGUUUUUGCUCAAGUAGUAAGUUCGAAAAAACGUCAUAAUUUUUCACAUGCGUCGUAAGUAUGGUCAAGCGUCGUAAGUUUAUCUGGUGGGACCCACAAUUUCACUAAAAUAAUAGCUAAACUUACGACACAUUAAAUCCGUCGUAAGUUUCCAAUUUAUGACGGAACUUUCCGUCGUAACAUAACUACCGACGAAGUCUAUUAUGAACGUUUGUCGCAAGUUCUGGUGAAAACAUGUUAUCUUAAUAAUUUUGAAAUGUGGCUGGUAACAUCCGUACGGUCGGAUCGUCCAAAAUAAUUUUUAAAUGUGGCUGGUGGUAUUAAAUAUGGUUGGUGAAUUUAUGACGGAAUUCGUCGCAAGUUUGUAUGAAAAAAUUGGCUUUUCAGACCCGCACUUAUUUCAAUUUUUAACUUUAAAAAUAUUAAAAUAACGAACUUACGACGGAAGACAACAUGCCGUCGUAAGUUACUAAUGUAAAAACGACACCGUUCUCAUAACUAGAAUUUUUUUAUUUAUUCUUUCAAUUUAAAAAAAAUGACAAAAUAACGAACUUACGACGGAGACCGGAUUUCGUCGUAAGUUACUAAUAUAAAAACGACACCAUAUUAAUAAUCGGAAUUUUUUGAUUUUUUUCCAAUUUAAAAAAUAUUAUAAUAAGUAACUUACGACGGAGUUGGAAAUUUGUCGUAAUAACUUACGACGGAUUGGACUCUCACAGAUUGACAGUUUCCACUAUAAGUUAUCACUACUCAGUGAGUAUUUGCUGCCACCAUAUACCUCAUCUCAUUACUUACUAUUAUCGUGUCCAAAACAAUUAAACUAUAUGAAUUAGAAAUAUGAAAUUAUAACUUACAUGCACAUAAUUGUCAAUUAAUCAUUAAUAUCUUUCAACUUUAACAAGUAUUAAGAUUAUUGUUCUGCUUAUUAGUUAUAUUGCAGAACAUAGAGUCCUAUGAUUUAUAAAAAUAAUUAUUCUACCAUUUGAUCACGAUGUUUAUGUUGCAGAACAUAAUGUGCAGGUUGUCAAAUCUUUACAAAUAUUAUUGGACAAAAAAAAUUGAAAUUUAGAUGACU